AAAGGGGUAAGCAUAUUUCCCUUACAUUUUUGGUAACACUAUCAAUUUGCAUGACAUAAUUUUAUUAUCAUGUGACAGGAUUCCGUCUAUAAAGGCCAAACAAAAGAAGACACACAAUAAGAAGAAGUUAGAUUUCACUCCAUGAUACUAAUUGGAUUUGGAACAAACGAAGAAGACACCAAUUUUUAUACGAUAAAAGGGGUACACAAUGGGGGGAGAAGGGCUACCUAAAAGUAGCAAGACCACCAAGUCUACCUGAAGAAGGAGAACAUGAAUAUGACCGUUGCAAACAUGAACAUGAGGGAGUGUAUGCAGAUACUGUUGACGUGGCUCUUUACUACAUCAAAGCGAACGGAAUUGUAGAAGAUAGGUACUAUGGCUCAUUUACAGGAAAAAAAAAUGGAAAUUCAAACGAAAGACAAGAGAGCGGAUGAGAAACUUGAUACGAGGUGGUGGAUUUGAGGAAAUAGAUCACGAAGAGGAAGAACAAGUGAUGGAACGAAUUGAAAUACAACCCCUUUAUAGUUGUAUGAAGCUUUGCAAUGACUUUUACAAAUGUA